GAUGAACGCGGGCGGCGUGCCUAAUACAUGCAAGUCGGGCGAACAGACGAGGAGCUUGCUCCUCUGACGUUAGCUGCGGACGGGCGAGUAACACGUGGAUAACCUACCUAUAAGACUGGGAUAACUUCGGGAAACCGGAGCUAAAACCGGAUAAUAUAUUGAACCGCAUGGUUAAGUAGUGAAAGACGGUUUUGCGGUCACUUAUAGAUGGAUCCGCGCGGCAUUAGCUAGUUGGUAAGGGAACGGCUUACCAAGGCAACGAUGCGUAGCCGACCUGAGAGGGUGAUCGGCCCCACUGGAACUGAGACACGGUCCAGACUCCUACGGGAGGCAGCAGUAGGGAAUCUUCCGCAAUGCGCGAAAGCCUGCCGGAGCAACGCCGAGUGAGUGAUGAAGGUCUUCGGAUCGUAAAACUCUCUUAUUAGGGAAGAACAAAUGUGUAAGUACCUAUGCACGUCUUGACGGUCCCUAAUCAGAAAGCCACGGCUAACUACGUG
rnacentral:rRNA from 1 species